AGAGUUUGAUCCUGGCUCAGGAUGAACGCUGGCGGCGUGCCUAACACAUGCAAGUCGAACGAAGCACAUACGACGGAACUCUUCGGAGGGAAGAUGUAUGUGACUGAGUGGCGGACGGGUGAGUAACGCGUGGGUAACCUGCCCUAUACAGGGGGACAACAGUUGGAAACGACUGCUAAUACCGCAUAAGCGCACAGUACCGCAUGGUACAGAGCGAAAAACUCCGGUGGUAUAGGAUGGGCCCGCGUCUGAUUAGUUAGUUGGCGGUGUAACGGACCACCAAGACGACGAUCAGUAGCCGGCUUGAGAGAGUGAACGGCCACAUUGGGACUGAGACACGGCCCAAACUCCUACGGGAGGCAGCAGUGGGGAAUAUUGCACAAUGGGGGAAACCCUGAUGCAGCGACGCCGCGUGAGUGAAGAAGUAUUUCGGUAUGUAAAGCUCUAUCAGCAGGGAAGAAAAUGACGGUACCUGACUAAGAAGCCCCGGCUAACUACGUGCCAGCAGCCGCGGUAAUACGUAGGGGGCAAGCGUUAUCCGGAUUUAUUGGGCGUAAAGCGUGUGUAGGCGGUUUGUUAAGUUUAAGAUUAAAGCCUGGGGCUCAACUCCAGUUCGUCUUAAAAACUGGCAGACUAGAGUACGGUAGAGGCAAACGGAAUUUCUAGUGUAGCGGUGAAAUGCGUAGAUAUUAGAAGGAACACCAGUGGCGAAAGCGGUUUGCUGGGCCGUUACUGACGCUGAGGCACGAAAGCGUGGGGAGCAAAUAGGAUUAGAUACCCUAGUAGUCCACGCCGUAAACGAUGAGUACUAAGUGUUGGGGUUUCCCAGUGCUGAAGCUAACGUAUUAAGUACUCCGCCUGAGUAGUACGGUCGCAAGGCUGAAACUCAAAGGAAUUGACGGGCACCCGCACAAGCGGUGGAGCAUGCUGUUUAAUUCGAAGAUACGCGAAGAACCUUACCUAGACUUGACAUCCCUGGCAAAGCUAUAGAAAUAUAGUGGAGGUUACCCAGGUGACAGGUGGUGCAUGGUUGUCGUCAGCUCGUGUCGUGAGAUGUUCGGUUAAGUCCGCUAACGAGCGCAACCCUUAUCCUUAGUUGCUAACAUUUAGUUGAGAACCCUAAGGAGACUGCCGGUGACAAACCGGAGGAAGGUGGGGAUGACGUCAAAUCAUCAUGCCCCUUACGUCUAGGGCUACAGGCGUGCUAUAAUGGCUGGUACAAUGAGACGCAAUACUGUGAAGUGGAGCAAAUCUAUAAAGCCAGUCUCAGUUCGGAUUGAAGUCUGCAACUCGACUUCAUGAAGCUAGAAUCGCUAGUAAUCCCAAAUCAGAAUGUUGGGGUGAAUACGUUCCCGGGUGUUGUACACACCGCCCGUCAUGCCAUGAAAGUUUGUAAUACCCGAAUGUGGUAGCCUAACCUUUUAGGAGGGGGCCAUUUAAGGUAGGACAAGUGAUUGGGGUAAAGUCGUAACAAGGUAUCCCUA
rnacentral:rRNA from 1 species